rnacentral:rRNA from 1 species
GACGAACGCUGGCGGCGUGCCUAAUACAUGCAAGUUGAGCGCUGAAGGUUGGUACUUGUACCAACUGGAUGAGCAGCGAACGGGUGAGUAACGCGUGGGGAAUCUGCCUUUGAGCGGGGGACAACAUUUGGAAACGAAUGCUAAUACCGCAUAAAAACUUUAAACACAAGUUUUAAGUUUGAAAGAUGCAAUUGCAUCACUCAAAGAUGAUCCCGCGUUGUAUUAGCUAGUUGGUGAGGUAAAGGCUCACCAAGGCGAUGAUACAUAGCCGACCUGAGAGGGUGAUCGGCCACAUUGGGACUGAGACCCGGCCCAAACUCCUACGGGAGGCAGCAGUAGGGAAUCUUCGGAAAUGGACGAAAGUCUGACCGAGCAACGCCGCGUGAGUGAAGAAGGGUGUCGGAUCGUAAAACUCGGUUGGUAGAGAAGAACGUUGGUGAGAGUGGAAAGCUCAUCAAGUGACGGUAACUACCCAGAAAGGGACGGCUAACUACGUG